CAGCCGCCGCGGUAAUACGAGGGGGGCAAGCGUUGUUCGGAAUUAUUGGGCGUAAAGGGCGCGUAGGCGGUUUGACAAGUCUGAUGUGAAAUCUCUGGGCUCAACCCAGAGUCUGCAUCGGAAACUGUCGAGCUUGAGUAUGGGAGAGGUGAGUGGAAUUUCCGGUGUAGCGGUGAAAUGCGUAGAUAUCGGAAGGAACACCUGUGGCGAAAGCGGCUCACUGGACCAUUACUGACGCUGAGGCGCGAAAGCUAGGGGAGCAAACAGGAUUAGAUACCCGGGUAGUCCCUGUCUCUUAUAC
rnacentral:rRNA from 1 species